UACGGAGGGGCUAGCGUUGUUCGGAAUUACUGGGCGUAAAGGGCGCGCAGGCGGCUGCUCAAGUCAGGCGUGAAAGGCCUGGGCUCAACCCGGGAAUUGCGCUUGAGACUGGGCUGGCUUGAGUGCGGGAGAGGAUGGUGGAAUUCCCAGUGUAGAGGUGAAAUGCGCAGAUAUCAGGAAGAACACCCGUGGCGAAAGCGGCUCUCUGGAACGGUACUGACGCUGAGGAGCGAAAGCGUGGGGAGCGAACAGG
rnacentral:rRNA from 1 species